rnacentral:tRNA from 1 species
GGGGAUUUAGCUCAGUGGUAGAGCGCUUGCUUUGCAAGUGCAAGGCCCUGGGUUCGGUCCCCAGCUCCG